rnacentral:rRNA from 1 species
CAGUAGCCGCGGGAAUACAGAGGGUGCGAGCGUUAAUCGGAUUUACUGGGCGUAAAGCGUGCGUAGGCGGCUUCUUAAGUCGGAUGUGAAAUCCCUGAGCUUAACUUAGGAAUUGCAUUCGAUACUGGGAAGCUAGAGUAUGGGAGAGGAUGGUAGAAUUCCAGGUGUAGCGGUGAAAUGCGUAGAGAUCUUGAGGAAUACCGAUGGCGAAGGCAGCCAUCUGGCCUAAUACUGACGCUGAGGUACGAAAGCAUGGGGAGCAAACAGGAUUAGAUACCCGUGUAGUCCCUGUCUCUUAUAC